rnacentral:misc_RNA from 1 species
GAUGAAGAACGUAGCGAAAUGCGAUACGUAAUGUGAAUUGCAGAAUUCAGUGAAUUAUCGAAUCUUUGAACGCAUAUUGCGCUCUUUGGUAUUCCGAAGAGCAUGCUUGUUUGAGUAUCAGUAAACACCUCAACCUCUUCUUGAUUUUUCAAAAGGAGGGUGGACUUGAGCUAUCCCAACAACCUUUACCGGUCGGCGGGCGGCUUGAAAUGCAGGUGCAGCUGGACUUUUAUCUGAGCUAAAAGCAUAUCUAUUUAGUCCUCGUCAAACAGGAUUAUUACUUUUGCUGCAGCUAACAUAAAGGAUAAUUGUCCUCUUUGCUGACUGAUGCAGGAUUUUACGACACUUUAUGUGUUGUUCAACUCGAUCUCAAAUCAAGUAAGACUACCCGCUGAACUUAAGCAUAUCAAUAAGCGGAGGA